AGUGGAAUUGCUGAGUUAUGUGGUAUGUUUAACUUUAUAAGAAACUGCCAAACUAUUUUUCAAAGUUGUAUCAUUUUACUUUCUCACCAGCAAU
rnacentral:pre_miRNA from 1 species